AUUGAACGCUGGCGGCAGGCCUAACACAUGCAAGUCGAACGGUAACAGGAAGCAGCUUGCUGCUUUGCUGACGAGUGGCGGACGGGUGAGUAAUGUCUGGGAAACUGCCUGAUGGAGGGGGUUAACUACUGGAAACGGUAGCUAAUACCGCAUAACGUCGCAAGACCAAAGAGGGGGACCUUCGGGCCUCUUGCCAUCGGAUGUGCCCAGAUGGGAUUAGCUAGUAGGUGGGGUAACGGCUCACCUAGGCGACGAUCCCUAGCUGGUCUGAGAGGAUGACCAGCCACACUGGAACUGAGACACGGUCCAGACUCCUACGGGAGGCAGCAGUAGGGAAUAUUGCACAAUGGGCGCAAGCCUGAUGCAGCCAUGCCGCGUGUAUGAAGAAGGCCUUCGGGUUGUAAAGUACUUUCAGCGGGGAGGAAGGGAGUAAAGUUAAUACCUUUGCUCAUUGACGUUACCCGCAGAAGAAGCACCGGCUAACUCCGUG
rnacentral:rRNA from 1 species